CGACCGAGCUGCGCGGCCCCGCGGAGAGGGAGGGAGCGGCCGGCCACUGGGAAGGAGGGGAGGGGGCAGAGGACUUCAAAACUGAACCAGGGGGAGACCCCAGACAAAGAGACCCCAGACAAAGGGAGAUGACGGCGGCAGCGUCGGGCCGGCUGCACUGGCUGGCUGUGGCUGAGGCCUUACUCGGGCAGGGGAUGUCCAGUCCUCCCAAGGGGGGAGAAUCCAGACGUCGCCUGGCUGCAGGCCCUUGGAGGCCUCCUUCUGGGUCCCUAACAAUCCACUCCCUCCACUCAGGAUUUUGAAAAAGACACCCUGUUUUCAAGAACAGCCCCAGCUUCAAACAUACGCUGACCUGUCACCUCUGAAAUCAAAUGUCCUUGUCAGACAGUGUCCGCCAGUUCUUAGUUUGGAAAAUUUGAUCCUCAGAGCAGAAGCCAACUGCGGAGGCUUACGUUUCCUGCGAUGAACAGGGAGGCGCAUGCUUCACAAGUGACCAACAACCAACACUGCUAUUGGAGAAAGAAGUGAAGGCCUGGAGGGAAAGAAAUUCCAGCCUGGGCCUGGAGGCCAGAGAGGGAAGAAGACCUUGAAAAUACUCUUAACUUUCUUCAUCUCCCGAGAAUACCGGUGGCCCAAAUCUUUCUUAUUUGUGUAUGAAGAACAUACAGAGGGGAUCCAACAGCGCCAAAAGCUUUGCUCAAGGUCACACUAGAAGUCAAGGUCAGUACUGAGAUAGCAAUUCUCAAACCAAGGUCCCUGGACUCCUGAGAACCCAAAAUGCCCCAUGAAAAUGAUUAAACUCCAUGUUUUCAUUUGACUGGUAAUUUUUAAAAAGAAUUGUAAGCAUUUUCUGGAUCACAUAUAACUGAUC